rnacentral:rRNA from 1 species
UUUCUUUAGAUAAUAUAUAAAAGAUAUGCCCUGCCCAAUGAAUAAAUUAAAUGGCCGCGGGAUCUAACCGUGCUAAGGUAGCAUAAUAAUUUGUCCUUUAAUAGUGGACUAGAAUGAAAGGGUAAACGAAAAUUUAACUGUCUCAAAUUAAUAAAUAAAAUUUAAUAUUUAGGUGAAGAGACCUAAAUUUAUCUACAGGACAAGAAGACCCUAUAGAGCUUUAUAUUUAACAUAUAUACAUAAUAUUUACAUAUUUGGUUGGGGCGACCUAGGAACAAAAUAAAACAACCUAUAUAAAAAUAGAUUUAUAAAUCUUUAAUAGAACAUAUAAAACGUAAAAUUAAGUUACCUUAGGGAUAACAGGCUAAUAUAUCUAAAGAGUUCAUAUCGACAGAUAUCCAUGGCACCUCGAUGUUGGCUUAAGAUACCUAAAUAAACGCAAUAGUUAUUUAAGGAGGUAGGUUGGACCUUUAAUUUCUU